CAACGGAAAGCAAGCAAGGAAGAAGCCAUGACGGGCGAGGAAGGAGGAGAGCCAUCGACGGUGGAGCAGGCGGUGGCGAAGGGAUCCGCCGUCGGAGAAGGGGGGAAGAAGGGGGGAGGCAGAGGAGGAGAAGGGCUGAAGAAGGGGCCGUGGACGCCGGCGGAGGACGCGAUUCUGGUGGAGCACGUGCGGCGGCACGGGGAGGGGAACUGGAACGCCGUGCAGCGGCACAGCGGGCUGGCCCGCUGCGGCAAGAGCUGCCGACUCCGCUGGGCCAACCACCUCCGCCCCAACCUUAAGAAGGGAUCCUUCUCUCCCGAGGAGGAGCUCCUCAUCCUCCGCCUCCACGCCCAGCUCGGAAACAAAUGGGCCCGCAUGGCUGCCCAACUGCCCGGAAGGACCGAUAACGAGAUCAAGAACUACUGGAACACCCGCCUCAAGCGGCGCCAACGUGCUGGUCUACCUAUCUACCCACCGGAGAUGCACGACGACGCCAGAUUAGACGGCCACCACCACCACGACCCGCAGCGUCAGGUUAAUACAACGUCGCCCGUAACGCUUCGGCAGCUCGCCGCGGAGCUCCCAUCUCUGCAGCUGCCCCCGUUGGUGGAUCCCAUCGCCUUCCGCCCUCUGUCGGGAAUCACUCUCUCCCCGUUCCCGCAGAAUCCAUUCGCCUCUCAGCUAGGUCUCGGGUUCCCGCCCUCACCCGCCUCCCAGCCACCCACCCCGACUUCUCUGUUCCAGCCGCCGCAGCAGCUAGGGUUGGGGAAUUACGCUAUGAAUCAGCCGCCACCAUUUUCGCCGGCGUUUGCCGUCAAAAUGGAGCUCCCUUCAUGCCAAUUGUUCGCUGAGCCCGUCGGCCGCAGCGACGAGCCGAGCAGUUGCGGCCUAUUAGAGGCUCUGCUGCAGGACACGCAAACCAUAGAGGAUAUGAAAAUUGCGGAGCUCUUAGAGCUGCAGGAGGCCGACGAGGAGGGCACGAGGUGGGAACAGCUUUUCUGCGAUCGCGGUAACGAUGGGGAAGGGAUUAAGGAGACUUCUCAGGGCUGUUCUUCUGCCAAGUUCGAAGGCUUCGAUUGCUGCAUGGGAACAAAGAUCAAAAGUGAGCAACCGGGCGAUGCUAGUCUUGCGAACGAUGACAUAGCCACACUUCUUGAUAUCCCGGUAUCGACGAUGUCAAUGAUUCCUGACUGGUGCAAUAGCGAUGGCAGGGACAUUUCCAACGGGCAGUCAUUGGUCACGACGAGCGAUGAAAUCGGGCUUGACAUACAUCAGUUGGCUUCUUCCCUCUCCGCCGGAUCCACAGAGCAAGACUGGAACAUCAGCUUGUGGCCAUGGAACAAUAUGCCAGGAAUCUGUUAGACCUUCAUGUAAAUGAGCAUUGGUUCUACAGUAAGGUUAGUUCAUACUGUGUAUGUUUACGGCAUGUAACUCAAUGUUCUAGACCUCAUAGUUGGAAGUAAGUUGCAAUUAAUUACUGUGUAUCAACUUAUACCAAGUGGUUGUGUUGGAUAGUAAGUAGUGAAAUCUGUGUUUCUUCGUUUUUACCAUGCACCAUAACCAGGAGUUCUCAACUACUGAACAAGUAACGCUUGAUUGGUUCUGAAAUCUCAUGUAUGUAAUCAAUGUUUGUAUCAACAUGUCUUCUGUCUUUCUCAGUUUUUGCAACCUAGUUUGCAAGAAAGAAGAUGAAUAGACAACAAGGAUAUCAGAUCAUGACAUCCUAGGUUGAGCUAAUUUUAGUUGGCUGAAAAGAGAAGUCUUGUUAAUGACUGGGGUGUCAAUGCCUAGAAUAGUAGAAAAGGUUUAUCAUGACUAAUGUGAUCACAGGAUUAUGAUUGAUUUGGGGAGAAGUCUUGUUAAUGGGAAUACAUAAUUAUAUAUACAUGCUAUCUUGCCAUCCAUUGUCACCAACUUCCACUCACAUUUGGUGAUGGUUUCAUUGUUGGCCCCCCUCCUUGGUAGGGAGCUUUUAGAGUCAAUGAUACUUCUGACAUUACUUUGAUGGCAAAAGCUCUACCUGUUUCCAAAAGUUAUCUCCACUAUCUGUGUGCACAAGCUAUCAAUUGGUGUCAAUCAUGGGUUCACCUAACUUUCAUCAAAUGUGGAGAUUCUUAUAUAGACUGUUUCCAGUGGCUCAUGUAGGCAGCUUCAUUGUCUGAUAUGGUUCUGAGAAAUUAAGUUGCUCAUUUCCAGGGGUGAUGUACAUGAGCUGAUUUUUACUUUUCUCCUUCAGUGAUUUUUGUUGAAAGAGUAGUGUGCAUUUAGUUUGCAUGACCAUGGAUCACUUCACCAUGCACACACAAAUAUAUGCCUGGCUUGGUUUCUGCUUGUUUCAAGCCACAUAUUUCUCCCACAGUUGAUAUACUUGACUAGUUUCUUUGAAUGCACAUAUUCUGUGGAGUCUUCAGCUUCUUGCAGGAUUGGGUUGGCAGCUGUUGUACAGUUGUGGCACCUCAUGCUAGACUUGUCAGAAGAGAGCAAGAUAGUGAAAGUUAUGUGGUGCUCUGACUCAUCAGGGGUUGGAUUGCUGUUGUUUUGGGCUAGAAAAGCUGGGAGUUUUUUGUUACAUUGUUGCAGAUUUGUUCUUGACUCAUUGUGUCUUCUCUAAGAUGGAUGUGGCUUUUGGCCUUUGUGAGCCUUUUUAAUGGCUCUUCUUGUUCUCUCUUAUGAUCCCUAAUAAAUGUUGAGAGAUGCAGCCUAAAAGAAAGAGCUUUUUUUUUGUUUUUCUGAUGGUAAAGUGAUAGAGGAUGGGAUUCUGCUAAGCUAGCUUGUCUGAUGGGGUGCAAAAUCAGCUACAGAUUAAUCUCAUGUUUCUAUAGGUUUGAAGACAAUCAAGCUAUAUUUAUAGGCAUUAAGCCCACAACUUAGUGAACUUAAAUUUUUAUUUUUAGAUCAUGUUGGUGUCUAGUCUCCAUAUAUGAUGGUCUAGAUCGGAUGUAUGAUGCAUGAUGGUCUUGAUCAACUCAGACUUGUAAUCAAAAGAAUUCAAUAUUCUUUUGAAUCUGCAAUGAAAUGGACUCAUGAAUAAGAAUCUGAUGGA